rnacentral:rRNA from 1 species
CGGCAAUGGAGGAAACUCUGACCGAGCAACGCCGCGUGAGCGACGAAGUACUUUGGUAUGUAAAGUUCUUUUAUCAAGGAAGAAAAGCAAGUGGCGAACCAUUUGUUUGCCGGUACUUGAUGAAUAAGCCCCGGCUAAUUAUGUGCCAGCAGCCGCGGUAAGACAUAAGGGGCAAGUGUUAUCCGGAAUUAUUGGGCGUAAAGGGUGCGUAGGCGGUCUAGUAAGUCAGUGGUGUAAUGGCAACGCUCAACGUUGUCCGGCUAUUGAAACUGCUAAACUUGAGUUAGAUAGAGGCGAGUGGAAUUCCAUGUGUAGCGGUAAAAUGCGUAAAUAUAUGGAAGAACACCAGAGGCGUAGGCGGCUCGCUGGGUCUUAACUGACGCUGAGGCACGAAAGCGUGGGGAGCAAACAGGAUUAGAUACCCUGGUAGUCCACGCCGUAAACGAUGAGUACUAAGUGUCGGGUUAAACCGGUACUGAAGUUAACACAUUAAGUACUCCGCCUGAGUAGUACGUACGCAAGUAUGAAACUUAAAGGAAUUGACGGGACUCCGCACAAGCGGUGGAUCAUGUUGUUUAAUUCGAAGAUACCCGAAAAACCUUACCAGGUCUUGACAUGUUUUUGCGAAACGGUAGUAAUAUCGUAGAGGUUAUCAGAAACACAGGUGGUGCAUGGUUGUCGUCAGCUCGUGUCGUGAGAUGUUAGGUUAAGUCCUAAAACGAGCGAAACCCUUAUCGUUAGUUGCCAGCACGUUAUGGUGGGGACUUUAACGAGACUGCCAGUGAUAAACUGGAGGAAGGUGAGGAUCACGUCAAAUCAUCAUGCCCCUUAUGACCUGGGCUACAAACGUGAUACAAUGGCUGUUACAAAGAGUAGCUGAA